UCGUUAGCGACGGACGGGUGAGUAACACGUGGGCGACCUGCCCUGUAGACGGGGAUAACACCGAGAAAUCGGUGCUAAUACCGGAUAACACGAAAUGUCGCAUGACGUUUCGUUGAAAGACGGCGCAAGCUGUCGCUACAGGAUGGGCCCGCGGCGCAUUAGCUAGUUGGUGAGGUAACGGCUCACCAAGGCGACGAUGCGUAGCCGACCUGAGAGGGUGAUCGGCGACACUGGGACUGAGACACGGCCCACACUCCUACGGGAGGCAGCAGUAGGGAAUCUUCCGCAAUGGACGAAAGUCUGACGGAGCAACGCCGCGUGAGCGAAGAAGGCCUUCGGGUCGUAAAGCUCUGUUGUUAGGGAAGAACAAGUAACGUACUAACUGGCGUUACUGUGACGGUACCUAACGAGAAAGCCACGGCUAACUACGUGCCAGCAGCCGCGGUAAUACGUAGGUGGCAAGCGUUGUCCGGAAUUAUUGGGCGUAGAGCGCGCGCAGGCGGUUCCUUAAGUCUGAUGUGAAAGCCCACGGCUCAGCCGUGGAGGGUCAUUGGAAACUGGGGGACUUGAGUGCAGAAGAGGAGAGCGGAAUUCCACGUGUAGCGGUGAAAUGCGUAGAGAUGUGGAGGAACACCAGUGGCGAAUGCGGCUCUCUGGUCUGUAACUGACGCUGAGGCGCGAAAGCGUGGGGAGCACACAGGAUUAGAUACCCUGGUAGUCCACGCCGUAAACGAUGAGUGCUUAGUGUUAGAGGGUAUCCACCCUUUAGUGCUGUAGCUAACGCAUUAAGCACUCCGCCUGGGGAGUACGCUCGCUAGAGUGUAACU
rnacentral:rRNA from 1 species